GACGAACGCUGGCGGCGGGCUUAACACAUGCAAGUCGAACGGAAAGGCCCUGCUUUUGUGGGGAGCUCGAGUGGCGAACGGGUGAGUAACACGUGAGUAACCUGCCCUUGACUUUGGGAUAACUUCAGGAAACUGGGGCUAAUACCGGAUAGGAGCUCCUGCUGCAUGGUGGGGGUUGGACAGUUUCGGCGGUUGGGGAUGGACUCGCGGCUUAUCAGCUUGUUGGUGGGGUAGUGGCUUACCAAGGCUUUGACGGGUAGCCGGCCUGAGAGGGGGACCGGCCACAUUAGGACUGAGAUACGGCCCAGACGCCUACGGGAGGCAACGGUGGAGAAUAUUGCACAGUGGGCGGGGGCCUGAUGCAGCGGCGCCGCGUGCGGGAAGCCGGCCUUCGGGUUGUAAACCGCAUUCACCUAAGACGAAGCGUGAGUGACGGUAAUGGGUGAAGAAGCACCGGCUAACUACGUG
rnacentral:rRNA from 1 species